rnacentral:rRNA from 1 species
UACGUAGGGUGCGAGCGUUAAUCGGAGUUACUGGGCGUAAAGCGUGCGCAGGCGGUUUUGUAAGCCAGAUGUGAAAUCCCCGGGCUCAACCUGGGAACUGCAUUUGGGACUGCAAGGCUUGAGUACGGCAGAGGGGGGUAGAAUUCCUGGUGUAGCAGUGAAAUGCGUAGAUAUCAGGAGGAAUACCGAUGGCGAAGGCAGCCCCCUGGGUCGAUACUGACGCUCAUGCACGAAAGCGUGGGGAGCAAACAGG